GGAAUAUUGGUCAAUGGGCGAGAGCCUGAACCAGCCAAGUAGCGUGCAGGAAGACGGCCCUAUGGGUUGUAAACUGCUUUUAUCAGGGGAUAAAGUUUCCCACGUGUGGGAUUUUGUAGGUACCUGAUGAAUAAGGACCGGCUACUUCCGUGCCAGCAGCCGCGGUAAUACGGAAGGUCCGGGCGUUAUCCGGAUUUAUUGGGUUUAAAGGGAGCGCAGGCUGAUUGUUAAGCGUGACGUGAAAUGUAGCCGCUCAACGGCUGCACUGCGUCGCGAACUGGCAGUCUUGAGUGAGUACGACGUCAGCGGAAUUCGUGGUGUAGCGGUGAAAUGCUUAGAUAUCACGAAGAACCCCGAUUGCGAAGGCAGCUGACGAGUCCUUUACUGACGCUAAAGCUCGAAGGUGCGGGUAUCGAACA
rnacentral:rRNA from 1 species